AUACAAAGUUAGAUUCGAUUUCUCUAUAGCUUCUUGUCCUAUGUAUAAAUACGAUACAACCACCAAUGCAAAAUAACAAAACCUAUUCGAUCUUUCGUCGAUACAGUGGCUAAGUUGUACAACACCGAGACACUCGCGUCUUCUUCUGCGCUUUUUUGUUAAGCGUCACAAGUGGCCAACAUCCGAAUCACUUGCCGCAAACGAAAGACGACACUAAUCUUCGUUUAGAAUACGAAACUUUGAAAACUCGUUUUGAGGAGUUUGUUGGCGCCGUUGAGAUUCAAUUUGACCAACUGAAAGAGGAAAUUCGACAGUUAAAAACGAAGGUCAGCGACAGCGAAAAAGAUUUACAUAAUACGGGUGAUGUCGCCUCAUCUAAAGGUGGAAUUCCAAGAUCUUGUCAUGAAGCCCGAUUGGCUGACCCUUCAUUGUCCACCGGCGUUUACUGGAUCGAUCCCGACGGCCAAGGUGUUGGAGACGACCCCAUCCAAGUAAAUUGCGACAUGUCCUCAGGAACGACAAUUAUUGGACACAACACCGAAGUAGCGACU